rnacentral:rRNA from 1 species
GGCGUUAAGUUGCAGGGUAUAGACCCGAAACCCGGUGAUCUAGCCAUGGGCAGGUUGAAGGUUGGGUAACACUAACUGGAGGACCGAACCGACUAAUGUUGAAAAAUUAGCGGAUGACCUGUGGCUGGGGGUGAAAGGCCAAUCAAACCGGGAGAUAGCUGGUUCUCCCCGAAAGCUAUUUAGGUAGCGCCUCGUGAAUUCAUCUCCGGGGGUAGAGCACUGUUUCGGCUAGGGGGCCAUCCCGGCUUACCAACCCGAUGCAAACUGCGAAUACCGGAGAAUGUUAUCACGGGAGACACACGGCGGGUGCUAACGUCCGUCGUGAAGAGGGAAACAACCCAGACCGCCAGCUAAGGUCCCAAAGUCAUGGUUAAGUGGGAAACGAUGUGGGAAGGCCCAGACAGCCAGGAUGUUGGCUUAGAAGCAGCCAUCAUUUAAAGAAAGCGUAAUAGCUCACUGGUCGAGUCGGCCUGCGCGGAAGAUGUAACGGGGCUAAACCAUGCACCGAAGCUGCGGCAGCGACGCUGAUGCGUUGUUGGGUAGGGGAGCGUUCUGUAAGCCUGCGAAGGUGGCCUGUGAGGGUUGCUGGAGGUAUCAGAAGUGCGAAUGCUGACAUAAGUAACGAUAAAGCGGGUGAAAAGCCCGCUCGCCGGAAGACCAAGGGUUCCUGUCCAACGUUAAUCGGGGCAGGGUGAGUCGACCCCUAAGGCGAGGCCGAAAGGCGUAGUCGAUGGGAAACGGGUUAAUAUUCCCGUACUUGGUGUUACUGCGAAGGGGGGACGGAGAAGGCUAUGUUGGCCGGGCGACGGUUGUCCCGGUUUAAGCGUGUAGGUGUGUGUUCCAGGUAAAUCCGGUUCACUUUAACACUGAGGCGUGACGACGAGGCACUACGGUGCUGAAGCAACAAAUGCCCUGCUUCCAGGAAAAGCCUCUAAGCAUCAGGUAACAUCAAAUCGUACCCCAAACCGACACAGGUGGUCAGGUAGAGAAUACCAAGGCGCUUGAGAGAACUCGGGUGAAGGAACUAGGCAAAAUGGUGCCGUAACUUCGGGAGAAGGCACGCUGACACGUAGGUGAAGUGAUUUACUCAUGGAGCUGAAGUCAGUCGAAGAUACCAGCUGGCUGCAACUGUUUAUUAAAAACACAGCACUGUGCAAACACGAAAGUGGACGUAUACGGUGUGACGCCUGCCCGGUGCCGGAAGGUUAAUUGAUGGGGUCAGCGCAAGCGAAGCUCCUGAUCGAAGCCCCGGUAAACGGCGGCCGUAACUAUAACGGUCCUAAGGUAGCGAAAUUCCUUGUCGGGUAAGUUCCGACCUGCACGAAUGGCGUAAUGAUGGCCAGGCUGUCUCCACCCGAGACUCAGUGAAAUUGAACUCGCUGUGAAGAUGCAGUGUACCCGCGGCAAGACGGAAAGACCCCGUGAACCUUUACUAUAGCUUGACACUGAACAUUGAGCCUUGAUGUGUAGGAUAGGUGGGAGGCUUUGAAGCGUGGACGCCAGUCUGCGUGGAGCCGACCUUGAAAUACCACCCUUUAAUGUUUGAUGUUCUAACGUGGACCCGUGAUCCGGGUUGCGGACAGUGUCUGGUGGGUAGUUUGACUGGGGCGGUCUCCUCCUAAAGAGUAACGGAGGAGCACGAAGGUUGGCUAAUCCUGGUCGGACAUCAGGAGGUUAGUGCAAUGGCAUAAGCCAGCUUGACUGCGAGCGUGACGGCGCGAGCAGGUGCGAAAGCAGGUCAUAGUGAUCCGGUGGUUCUGAAUGGAAGGGCCAUCGCUCAACGGAUAAAAGGUACUCCGGGGAUAACAGGCUGAUACCGCCCAAGAGUUCAUAUCGACGGCGGUGUUUGGCACCUCGAUGUCGGCUCAUCACAUCCUGGGGCUGAAGUAGGUCCCAAGGGUAUGGCUGUUCGCCAUUUAAAGUGGUACGCGAGCUGGGUUUAGAACGUCGUGAGACAGUUCGGUCCCUAUCUGCCGUGGGCGCUGGAGAACUGAGGGGGGCUGCUCCUAGUACGAGAGGACCGGAGUGGACGCAUCACUGGUGUUCGGGUUGUCAUGCCAAUGGCACUGCCCGGUAGCUAAAUGCGGAAGAGAUAAGUGCUGAAAGCAUCUAAGCACGAAACUUGCCCCGAG